AACGCACAUUGCGCCCCUCGGUAUUCCGGGGGGCAUGCCUGUUCGAGCGUCAUUUCAACCCUCAAGCCUAGCUUGGUAUUGGACUUCCGUCGGUCAAACGACGGGUCUUAAAAUCAGUGGCGGCGCCGUUGGGUCCUGAACGUAGUAAUAUAUUUCGUUACAGGUGCCUCGCGUGCUUCUGCCAUUAAACCCCCAAUUUUUUAUGGUUGACCUCGGAUCAGGUAGGGAUACCCGCUGAACUUAA
rnacentral:misc_RNA from 1 species